AUUGAACGCUGGCGGCAUGCCUUACACAUGCAAGUCGAACGGCAGCACGGGAGCAAUCCUGGUGGCGAGUGGCGAACGGGUGAGUAAUAUAUCGGAACGUGCCCAGUCGUGGGGGAUAACGCAGCGAAAGCUGUGCUAAUACCGCAUACGAUCUCUGGAUGAAAGCGGGGGAUUCGCAAGGACCUCGCGCGAUUGGAGUGGCCGAUAUCAGAUUAGCUAGUUGGCGGGGUAAAGGCCCACCAAGGCGACGAUCGGUAGCUGGUCUGAGAGGACGAUCAGCCACACUGGAACUGAGACACGGUCCAGACUCCUACGGGUGGCAG
rnacentral:rRNA from 1 species